AUGAAAUUGGCUGAUGAGAUGGUUUGUGUAGUAUCUCUAACCCAGGCUCCUCCAAAGAAACAGACUUUGCAUAGCGUUUCUUCACCACGCAGUACAGAAAAUAGCCACUGGAUGGAGCGUUUGAUCAAAGAGCCAAAACCACAUAUUUUUUCGAGCAGCAGAAGUAUGGAAAAGGUUAGCGUUGAAGUAAAAGAGCAAUCAAUGAAUCAGAGGCAAAUAUCAGGAGUAUCAAAUUCACCAGUUCUGAAAUCCUUAGGAAUGCCUGUAAGUUCAGCCUUUGAAUUCCCCCCCAAAAAAGUCAACAAAAUUAUACCAAUUUUCAAAGGAAAGUUAAUGCAAAUGAAUGGAAAGACUACAAAUCAAAUUGAUGGGAAGAAAAGAAAAAAUGCUGAAAGAGAUUCACCAGUAAAAAAUAUGGGUGCUUCCUCUUCUGUGUUGACUGUUUGCAGGUCCAGCAUAACUCAAGUUUACAAACCUGUUCAAAAUAUGCCAGGCAAAAUUCCUACCCACAGCAGCUUUAUUCAGAUAAUGACUGAGAAAGCAUACGUAAAACAAGGUGUAUCUGUAUUUCAGUGGAAAAGAGAGUCUGGUGGACAAAUGACUACUUCUGUUUAUUCUGAUAACUCAGCUGCAGGUCACACUUCAAGUGAAGCGAGUCACAAUGAGGCAAACUCUCCUUCCUGUCUGAAGAACGUUGGGCCAGUGCUUUCGAAAUCUAACAUCAGUCCGAGCCUGAAUACAUAUGCAUCUAUUACUUCUAGUUCAAGAAGGGGAAAAAUGUUAGCAAGCCAAAAUACCACACAAGUUCUAGAGAAACAACACCAGUCAAAGAAAAUACAUUUGCAGAUUUGUAAAUUAGAUGAUGGAAUGACAAAUUGCAAUUUAUCACAGCAACAAACAAAUGAAGGACCAGGGUUAAAUAUUCACAAAUCCAUCUUAAAUGAUAAAGUGUGCAUCGCCAAAAAUGAUGAAAGUAAAGCAUCUUGCAAUUCUAAGGACUGUAUUGCUAAAACAACCUAUCUUCCUUCCAGACCUAACUCUGAACAGGUACAGUAA
rnacentral:lncRNA from 1 species